UGGGGGGGUGUUUGAGAAACGGGCGGCCUGGCUGCAGCGCCAGGAAAUGGUUACGCCUGAGCGAGGCGCUCUCUCACACGGAUGCGCCGUGUGGGCUGGCCUGGGGCCCGGCCUAAAUGAUUCAAACAGGAUGUUGCCUCAUUGGGGCCUGCUCCGUCGGGGCUUCAACGAUAGGUCGCGAGACGUGGUGGUCCCUGGUGGUUGUCUGGUUAACCCUGCCCCGGGCGGGGGCGGGGGCGGGGGCGGGGUGGGGGCGGGGAGGCGUUCAUCACAACCUCCUUAGCCGCUCGGCUCGGACUGCGCCCCCGCCCACGGACACGAAUGCCUCUUCUUCCAGCUGUUUGGUGUACAAUAUAGAGAUUCAGUGAUUUUUUACCUUACUCAGUGCUCGACAUCUAGAGAUUGUGAAGAGCUUGUGAACUAGAAAACAGAACAAUGAAUUUGGGCUCUCUCACUUGGUGUUCCACCAUAUCACUAAUGCAAAUACUACAGUUGCUCAUUAAUUAGAAGAAUAAAAAAAGGACGUUAAAGUUUUUUUUUUUAAUUCUGUAUCAAACAAAAAUCCAAACAAUUAUUGGGCUGAACUCAAGUGAUAAAAUAUUUUAAGUAUUUCGUGAAUUUUAAUCUGAGACCAUUGUAAAACACAAUCAUCUCUGUAGAUGAUUUACUUGCAUAGAAAAAACUGAGACGAAGAUUUACAUACGAAGAGUCCAGUUUGCUUGAGUUUGAGGCCUCGAUAACAGAAUGAGAUUUCCAGGCAUGAGAUUAUUAAGAAUGCAGAUAACUUUUAUUCUCUAUCCUCCCUUUUCUACUCUUUGAAUCAAAUUUUGCCCUUCCACCCUGUGUUAGAUUGAAGGCAUCGAUGAUCUCAAUUAAUUUAAUGUCCUCUAUCCAUAUCCCUGUCCAGUAACCUUGUAGUUCCUGCCCACCCUAACUUGGGCUGGUCUUGUGACUUGAUUUGGCCAGUACAGUGCGGUAGAAGUGAUGAUGUGAUGAUUCUUAGUGUAGACCGCAAGAAGCCUUGCAUGUUUCUGCUUCCUCUCUGGCUUCCCUCUGGUCACCAUGACAACAUGUCUGAGUUUGGGGCAUGCUCCAUGUGAGGCCACAUGGAGGAGAGCUGAGUCAUUUUAGCCAUCAUGGAGCACUCGGCUCCCAGUGGACCUGCCAUCUGCCACAGCCUGAGCCUGCAAAAAUCUGGCUAAACUAGAUCAGUAGAACUACCUGCCAACCCGUAGCCUCCUGAGAAACAAGUUAUUUUUUAAAAAAGAUUUAUUUAUUUACUUUAGAAAGAGAGUGCAUGAGCAGAAGGGGCAGAGGGAGAGGGAGAGAGAAUCUCAAACAGACUCCACGCUGAGUGCGGAACCAGAAGCUGGGCUCGAUCCCAGGACCCUGAGAUCACGACUUGAGCCGAAACCAGGAGUCAGGCACUUAACCGACUGCAUCACCCAGGCGUCCCGAAACAAUAGCUUUUUAAACCCAUAUGUUCUGAGAUGGUUAUGCAGUCAUAGCUAACUACUUCACAUCCUAUAUUCAUAAUACUAAUAGGAUAAGAUGAUAGAAGCUCCUCCCAUAGGCUAUUAUUUUUUAACUGUUGUCAGCCGUUUGAGCUAAAUGAAUGUACUUUGAGAGUGUCAUCAGUUUCAGUAAGUGACGAUGGGGAACUUAGGGAGUGCAGUGGAAUCUUCGUGGGAUAAUAGUCCCAUAUACUUCAGAAGCCGAUUAUCAUUAGAAAUAAGAAAAAACAGUUUUAAAAUCAGGUAGAUGACAUGUAUUAAAGAUCUCAAAGCUGUAGUUGGUGGACCUACAAACUGUUGACAUGACAUCCCCAAACCAUCAUACCCACCCUCUCGGGUAGUGCUCCCACUCCCCUGUUUGGCUGUACCCACCGCUAGCUCUUCUCAGGUCUUUUUUUUUUUUGAAGAUUUUAUUUAUUUGACAGAGAGACACAGCAAGAGAGGGAACACAAGCAGGGGGAGUGGGAGAGGGAGAAGCAGGCUUCCUGCGGAGCAGGGAGCCCCACGUGGGGCUCGAUCCCAGGACCCCGGGAUCAUGACCUGAGCCAAAGGCAGACGCUUAACGACUGAGCCACCCAGGUGCCACUUCUCAGGUCUUUUUACGGAAGUCCUUCUUCUGACCGCUCCAUGAGCUACACUGGAGGGCUUUGCAUUGAAGGGGCUGCACCAACAAAUCUGACCUCCAACCCUGCUCAUGCCUCAGGCACUAGGCCCUCUGACCCACUAAGGGUUUAGUAUUUGUGUACUCUAGUUUUCUUUUCUGCAAAACGGUGAUGGGGAAGAUAAGGCUUUUAAGAAAGUUAGUCCACGGUUCUUUUGAUCACUGGUAGAGAUAGUUUCUGCUGAUUUAGAAACUUUGUGUUAUGGGCCAAAGCUUUAGCAAAUAUUAACUCUCAUUUUACUGCCCUUAUUGUUAACAGCCAGAUAAAUGGAAGUUCAGAGAUUUGACAUGAUGUGGAUGGAUCCAAAGUCACACACAUGACUGGAAGCAAAGCCAUAAAUAUAGUAAUAGUUUGUACUUUAGAAAAAAAUGGAAAAUCUGUCUCCCUUUUCUUGGUAGGGAUAUGUAACAUAGUGAUUCUUAGGCCGGUCCUCAUAAAUCACACGUGAGCCCUUCAGACCCAGGAAGGAACCUGAGGCCUACCAGGGGCAUCUUAUCAACCUGGGAAGCCUAUUGUUGACCCCUCAUUAACUCAUUGAUUCAUCUUUAAGGAAAAUAGCAGGAAUAGGCACUCAGAUGGGAAAGUUGGGGCAAGCAGUUUCAUAGUAACGGUAGGUUUUAUAACAAGCUCCAGGCCAGGUGACUUUAUCCCCUUUGUGCUCAGUUUUCUCAUCUAUAAAAUACGUGCAUGGAGCCAGUCAGUGUUUUCCUAAACUGUGCUCUGUGGACGAUUUCUCUGGCCUUUGUGAAAGUCAGGAAAUGCUGCAUACAAGGUCUGUCCCUUAAAGACCUUUGUGAAGGUCUGCAUUCGAGAAAUCUGUUCAACUUUAUUAACUCAGGCUUAAUAGAGAUCCUGGAAACCUCUUAAGACCCUAUAGGAAGAAUCUCAUUUUGGAAAUGUGGAGGCAGAUGAUUACCAUGACUUCCUAUGGCUGCAAAGACAUCUGAACUAAUAGAAAGAUUUUGAUUCUAUUGCAAUUUACUGCCAAGUCCAUUUUUUACCCAGGAAGGAAAUAGGAAAAAAAAAAUCAUAUUUUCUUGAUUGUCUACACUGUCAGACACUUAGAUAUUUUAUGUAGUCCUUCUUUCUUUCUUUUCUUUUUGAGAGAGAGAGAGAAAUCUUGCGUGUGAGUGGGAGGGCGGAGGGGCACAGGGAGAGUGAGAGAGAAUCUUAAGCAGACUCCACCCCAGUGCAGAGCCUGAUGUGGGGCUCGAUCUCAUGACCCCCAGAUCAUGACCUGAGCCAAAAUCAAGAGUCUGUCGCUUAACCAACUGAGCCACCCAGCCACCCCCUUAUUUAUUUUUUGCAAUACCAUAUGGAAUAUUAUUAUUCUCACCAAUAUUGAUCUUAAUGACAUCAUUUUUUUCCAUAACCAGUACAGUCUUAUUGAGAGAGGAACAGGACAGCAUCAAUGUAGAGUCAGUGGGCUCAGUCCCUGAUACUCUUUUCUAUCUGUACACAUUCUCUAGGUGAUAUUAUCCAGCUGUUAAAUAAUAUUUAUAUGAUAUGAUAUUUAUAGGAUAUGAUAGGAUAUUAUCCAGGCUUUAAAUAGUAUCAUAUGCUGAUGACUGUUAACUCUCACAAUUCCCCUCUGACUGUUCCCAUACUAAAUAAACAUCUCAAACUUUGUGUGACCAAACCAGUGUUUUAUUUUUUUUUAUUUUUUAUUUUUUUAAAGAUUUUAUUUAUUUAUUUGAGAGAGAGAGAAUGAGAGACAGAGACCACGAGAGGGCAGAGGGCAGAGGGAGAAGCAGACCCCCUGCUGAGCAGGGAGCCCGAUGCGGGACUCGAUCCCGGGACUCCAGGAUCAUGACCUGAGCCGAAGGCAGUCACUUAACCAACUGAGCCACCCAGGCGCCCCAAACCAGUGUUUUAAAUUGAGAGUUUUCCUCUAGACUUUUCUUGCCUGUUUUACCCUUCAUAAUUGGUCUCCCCAUCUACUUCAUUGAUCAAACAGGAAUUGAGGUGUUGCUGAUUUCUCUCAUGCCCUCAUUCCCCAUAUGCAGUCCAUCAGCAAGUCUGUCCUGCCAGAACACUCCAGAAUGUGACCACUUCUCUCCAUGGCUAUGCCUAUUUCUAGUCAAGCUACCAUCACCUCCCAUGCAGACAAUUACUGCCAUGUUGUUCUCUCGGCUUCCAUUUGUGUCCCCUUUGCAAUCAGGAGCUGAGAUGAUCUAAAAAAUAAAUAUGUAGGUGCUGUCACGGUGGGUUUGCUGAGGAAGACCGCCUGCCUGGUGCGAUUGGUUAUAUGUGAGAGUCCACACAAAUGGCUAACAAUGUUGUACACAAAGACUCUUGAUGUUCUUGAGCAAAUUCCUAAAAAUGCAGCCUAUGGCUCGCAUGCAAAACAGAUUGCAAAUGAGAAGUGGAGUCUGGUUAAAGUGGAGCCAGAUGUUAAGAAAUUAGAAGACCAGGGGCG